CAGCCUCUUGGUCUAGUAUAUUUCCCUUGAAUCUCCUGUCUAGACACAGAUGCUCCCACAUUUGGACAUUAUCCUAUCAAAUUUGUGUUGUCCUUGUACUUUGACAUUCCCCCUCCCCCUCCUUGCCGAGAAACAUAUCAUCACUUGUCUUCCUCGAAGUGUUCAUUUAUUAUGUAACGUAUCAACCUUUGUUUUUACAGCUUCAUCUGAAAGUUUCUUCCGACCUCGUGGGGUGACGAUACAAUACAGAAAUGAAAGUUUACCAGAUCUAUUAGACUCGCGUCAUCAAGACUUGGCUCAGUUUUCACGUUACGGACUGAAACACAACUAUCCCAGCAGCAAUUUCUUGGGCUCAGAUCAUGAAAUACAUCCAUCAAGAAUUAAAGGAAUUAAACAAAACUUCCACAGCACAGGUCAGUAGAUUCGUUUCUUU
rnacentral:sRNA from 1 species